rnacentral:rRNA from 1 species
UACGAAGGGGGCUAGCGUUGCUCGGAAUCACUGGGCGUAAAGGGUGCGUAGGCGGGUCUUUUAAGUCAGGGGUGAAAUCCUGGAGCUCAACUCCAGAACUGCCUUUGAUACUGAGGAUCUUGAGUUCGGGAGAGGUGAGUGGAACUGCGAGUGUAGAGGUGAAAAUUCGUAGAUAUUCGCAAGAACACCAGUGGCGAAGGCGCUCACUGGCCCGAUACUGACGCUGAGGCACGAAAGCCAGGGGAGCAAACGGGG